rnacentral:rRNA from 1 species
GCUCCUACGGGGGGCAGCAGUAGGGAAUUUUCGGCAAUGGGGGGAACCCUGACCGAGCAACGCCGCGUGAACGAAGAAGUUAUUCGUAAUGUAAAGUUCUUUUAUCAGGGAAGAAAGAGGAAUUUGACGGUACCUGAGGAAUAAGCUCCGGCUAACUACGUGCCAGCAGCCGCGGUAAUACGUAGGUGGCAAGCGUUGUCCGGAUUUACUGGGUGUAAAGGGCGUGCAGCCGGGCCGACAAGUCAGAUGUGAAAUCCGCGGGCUUAACCCGCGAACUGCAUUUGAAACUAUUGGUCUUGAGUACC